rnacentral:rRNA from 1 species
UACGGAGGGUGCAAACGUUGCUCGGAAUCAUUGGGCGUAAAGCGCACGUAGGUGGCCUGUUAAGUCGGGUGUGAAAUCCCUGGGCUCAACCCAGGAAGUGCACUCGAAACUGGCAGGCUUGAGUACUGAAGAGGGUCGCGGAAUUCCCGGUGUAGAGGUGAAAUGCGUAGAUAUCGGGAGGAACACCAGUGGCGAAGGCGACUACCUGGCCUGUUCUUGACGCUGAGGCGCGAAAGCUAGGGGAGCAAACGGG